rnacentral:rRNA from 1 species
GAUGAACGCUGGCGGCGUGCCUAAUGCAUGCAAGUCGAGCGAACAGACGAGGAGCUUGCUCCUCUGACGUUAGCGGCGGACGGGUGAGUAACACGUGGAUAACCUACCUAUAAGACUGGGAUAACUUCGGGAAACCGGAGCUAAUACCGGAUAAUAUAUUGAACCGCAUGGUUCAAUAGUGAAAGACGGUUUUGCUGUCACUUAUAGAUGGAUCCGCGCCGCAUUAGCUAGUUGGUAAGGUAACGGCUUACCAAGGCAACGAUGCGUAGCCGACCUGAGAGGGGGAUCGCCCACACUGGAACUGAGACACGGUCCAGACUCCUACGGGAGGCAGCAGUAGGGAAUCUGCCGCAAUGGGCGAAAGCCUGACGGAGCAACGCCGCGUGAGUGAUGAAGGUCUUCGGAGCGUAAAACUCUGUUAUGAGGGAAAAACAAAUGUGUAAGUAACUAUGCACGUCGUGACGGUACCUAAUCAGAAAGCCACGGCUAACUACGUG